GAGUGUGAACGUCUGGAUGCCGUGUGUCAGCGUUCCCUUACCAGUGUGUCUGCAGCCUGGGAACCCUUCACAGACGCAGAAACACUCAUAGUCAGAUAUGAGAUUGCCAUAGGAACCACUCAAGGAGGAGGUCAACUGCGGUCAUUUACAGAAGUGAACGUCGAGAAUGGCUGCUCUGCCACUGUCACAGGCCUGAAUCUGGCAGACCUAAGACAAGUCUAUGUGUCAGUGAAGGCCACCAAUGCUGCGGGCCUGGCUACUGUGGCCGUGUCUAACGGUGUGUACAUCAGCAGGGUCAGCGCUGGUUUACCUGUACUAGCUGCACCUCAGGUCAGAGAUGGAAACCUGGAACAGGACCUGGACUACCAGACAUCGCUGGAUGAGCUCCAGGCUAGUUGGGACUUCAGUGGAGACCCCUGUCCUAUUGUCAAGUAUGAGUGGUCCAUUGGAAGAGUGGAUGAAGCUGUCAUCCAGCCUUAUACAGAUGU